rnacentral:misc_RNA from 1 species
GAUGAAGAACGUAGCGAAAUGCGAUAAGUAAUGUGAAUUGCAGAAUUCAGUGAAUCAUCGAAUCUUUGAACGCACAUUGCGCCCGCCAGUAUUCUGGCGGGCAUGCCUGUUCGAGCGUCAUUUCAACCCUCAGGCCCCCAGUGCCCGGUGUUGGGGAUCGGCCCAGCCUUCCUGUAAGGCCGCCGGCCCCGAAAUCUAGUGGCGGUCUCGCUGUAGUCCUCCUCUGCGUAGUAGCACAACCUCGCAGUUGGAACGCGGCGGUGGCCAUGCCGUUAAACACCCCACUUCUGAAAGUUGACCUCGGAUCAGGUAGGAAUACCCGCUGAACUUAAGCAUAUCAAUAAGCGGAGGA